rnacentral:rRNA from 1 species
GACGAACGCUGGCGGCGUGCUUAACACAUGCAAGUCGAACGAUGAACCCGGAGCUUGCUCCGGUGGAUUAGUGGCGAACGGGUGAGUAACACGUGAGUAACCUGCCCUUGACUCUGGGAUAACUGCGGGAAACUGUAGCUAAUACCGGAUACGACCCUCGGCGGCAUCGCCAGGGGGUGGAAAGAAUUUCGGUCAAGGAUGGACUGGCGGCCUAUCAGCUAGUUGGGGAGGUAACGGCACACCAAGGCGACGACGGGUAGCCGGCCUGAGAGGGUGACCGGCCACACUGGGACUGAGACACGGCCCAGACUCCUACGGGAGGCAGCAGUGGGGAAUAUUGCACAAUGGGCGCAAGCCUGAUGCAGCAACGCCGCGUGAGGGAUGACGGCCUUCGGGUUGUAAACCUCUUUUAGUAGGGAAGAAGCGAAAGUGACGGUACCUGCAGAAAAAGCACCGGCUAACUACGUGCCAGCCGCCGCCGUAA